UUGCUUGGCGCACUGGUGAGUAUUAAUAUAAGAACUUAGCCCUUAACUUUGUAUUAAAAUAAACAAUUUUAUUAAUUUAUAAUUUUAAAUUAUAAUAUAUAAAAUAUUUAAUAUACCUUCGUGUCUAAAGUUAAUUUAGCAUUGCUAAAUAUUUGGAUAAAAAUUUGUAUUAGUUAAGGACAAGCUUGUAUAGGAUUUAGACUGUUGGUAAGGUAAUGGCUUACCAAAUCGUUUAUCCUUAACUGCCUGGGAGGGUGUACAGUCACAUUGGGUCUGGAACAGAACCCAACUACCGAAGCGGUAGCAGCAGUAGGGAAUCUUGACAAUGUGCUAAAGCACGAUCUAGCAAUGCUUUAGCGGUGAAGACGGUUCAGGAAAUCGUAAAAUCGAUGAAAUAAAUGAGAGGCGUUGCUUUACAAUUUAUUUUAGAAGCUCCGACUAACCUCGUGCCAGCAGUCGCGGUAAUACGAGGGGAGCAAGUGUUAUUCGUACUGAUUGGGCGUAAAGGGUACGUAGGUUGUUAAUUAAGUUUAAAGUUAAAUUCUGGAGCUCAACUCCUGGAAAGCUUUUUAAUACUGAUUAACUUUGAGUUAAUUAGAGAAUAGUAGGACUCUUAGUGUAGAGAUAAAAUUCAAUAAUAUUAAGGAGACAAGGCAGCGUAGGCGACUAUUCAUAAUUAACUGACACUGAGGUACAAAAGUAUAGGGAGCAAAAAGGAUUAGAGACCCUUGUAGUCUAUACCGUGACCUAUGAGUAUUGAAUUUAAAAAUAAAUAUAUUUAUUUUAUUAAUUCAAGCUAACGCGUAAAUACUCCGCCUGGGAACUAAGGCCGCAAGGUUAAAACUCAAAGGAAUUGACGGAGAUCAGACCAAGUAGUGGAGCAUGUGGUUUAAUCCGAUAAUCCGCGUAGAACCUUACCAAUUCUAGUUUAUAUCAAGAUAUAUAUAAUAUUAUAGAACUAAAUUUUGUUACAAUUUUAAUUAUUGUUUCAAAUAUGAUAUAAUCAGGUGUUGCAUGGCUGUCGUCAGUCCGUGUCGUGAGAUGUCUGGUUAAAUCCGAUAACGGACGUGACCCUUAAGUAAACUAUUAUGUGUUUACUAAUAGACAAUGUAAGAUUGUAGGAAGGUGAGGACAACGAUAAGUCGUUAUGCCCUAAUGAAUUGGGCUACACAUGUGCUACAAUGGUAAUUACAAAAAGAUGCGAAAAUGUGAAUUUUAGCUACUCUUUAAAAAGAAAUCGUAGUUCGGAUUAUUCUCUGCAAUUCGAGAAUAUGAAGCUGGAAUUACUAGUAAUCGUAUAUCAGCACGAUACGGUGAAUUAGGAACCUGAUCUUGUACACACCGCCCGUCACGCCAUGGAAGCAGGUUUUAUCUUAAAUGCCUAUGAGUAAGCUUAAAAUUAUAAAAAAAACAAUAUUUAUAUAUUUAAAUUUUUUAUUAAAUUUAAACUGAAUAGUA
rnacentral:rRNA from 1 species